GGACUGUGCCUCAGUGGUAGAGGAUCUGCUUUGCAUGCAGGAGGUCCCUGGAGGUCCCUGGCAUCUCCA